CCUACGGGAGGCAGCAGUGAGGAAUAUUCGUCAAUGGGCGAGAGCCUGAACCAGCCAAGUAGCGUGAGGGAUGACUGCCCUACGGUUUGUAAACCUCUUUUUUAGAGGAAUAAGUGCAGGCAAGUAUCCCUUCUCGUAUGUACUCUAUGAAUAAGGAUCGGCUAACUUCGUUCCAGCAGCCGCGGUAAUACGGAGGAUCCGAGCGUUAUCCGGUUGUAUUGUGUUUAAAGGGAGCGUAGGUGGGUUGUUAAGUCAGCUGUUAAAGUGUUCGGCUUAACCGUAAUAUUGCAGUUGAUACUGGGAGUCUUGAGUACAGUAGAGGUGAGCGGAAUGCGAGGUGUAGCGGUGAAAUGCUUAGAUAUCACGAAGAACUCCGAUUGCGAAGGCAGCUCACUGGACUGCAACUGACACUGAUGCUCGAAAGUGUGGGUAUCAAACAGGAUUAGAUACCCCUGUAGUC
rnacentral:rRNA from 1 species